GAUGAACGCUAGCGACAGGCUUUAACACAUGCAAGUCGAGGGGCAGCGGGGGAGUAAGCUUGCUUAUUCCUGCCGGCGACCGGCGCACGGGUGAGUAAACACGUAUGCAACCUGCCCUUGGCAGGGGGAUAACCCGGAGAAAUCCGGACUAAUACCGCGUAACACCCCUGGGGGACAUCCCCGGGGGUCAAAGGAAGCAAUUCCGGCCAAGGAUGGGCAUGCGUCGCAUUAGGCAGUUGGCGGUGUAACGGACCACCAAACCGACGAUGCGUAGGGGUUCUGAGAGGAAGGCCCCCCACACUGGUACUGAGACACGGACCAGACUCCUACGGGAGGCAGCAGUGAGGAAUAUUGGUCAAUGGGCGCAAGCCUGAACCAGCCAAAGUCGCGUGAGGGAAGACGGUCCUAUGGAAUUGUAAAACCUCUUUUGUCAGGGAGCAAGUCGGCCACGCGUGGUGCGAUUGAGAGUACCUGAAGAAAAAGCAUCGGGCUAAAACUCCGUGCCAGCAGCCGCCGCAGU
rnacentral:rRNA from 1 species